GAUGAAGAACGUAGCGAAAUGCGAUAAGUAGUGUGAAUUGCAGAAUUCAGUGAAUCAUCGAAUCUUUGAACGCACAUUGCGCUUCCUGGCAUUCCGGGAAGCAUGCCCGUUUCAGAAUCAGCAAAAUAUCUCAUGUUGCUGGUGGUCAGAACUUUGUUCUAGCCUCCAUGUGGACAUGGAUGUGGAUGUGUUUGCCGUGCUGUGUGAGCAGCAUGGGAAUCAUCUUAAAGGCAGUGCAUGUUUUUGGUUCUCGUGUGACGAUCGGACUGCAAGGUGCAACAGAAAUGGGAAUACCCUUUCUCUUUGCUGGCCCAGUCGACACCGACCAUAAGGCAUGCUUCUCCUUCUUUUGACAUGAGGGGUGAUACUUUUCUCCCCAGUCAUCUUUGGUCUGAAAUCGGGCAGGAAAACCCGCUGAACUUAAGCAUAUCAAUAAGCGGAGGA
rnacentral:misc_RNA from 1 species